CUGUGGUGUCUCAUCAAGAUUAGGCAGUUCUGCUGUGUUGGAAGUGCAUGGAAUCCGGCCAUAUUAGGAUCAAAUCCCAGGACAGAGGAGGUUCUGGGUCCUGCACUGUGACCCCUGCAGCACUACAGUUCAGUUGAACAGAAGAUGGUCAGAAGAUGAAGAGGUCUGGCUCCACAGAGAGCUACUCACUUGAGCAUCCAGACAGGCAGAUUGAAAAGAACAUCUGAAACAGCUACAGAAGGUCAGUUCUGAUAAAAUAAUUAUUGGAAACAAUGUCUUUAGAGAAGCAGAAUUUCC